rnacentral:rRNA from 1 species
ACCGCUGGUGAAGACAGAUCUCUGGGCUGUAACCGACGAUGAGGAGAGAAAGAGAGGGGGAGCAAACAGCAUUAGAUAGAUAUGGUAGUCCUCCCCGUAAUAGUUGGGAAAUAGUUGUGGUGUGCAUUCCAGCGAUUCAGUGACGCAGCUAACGCAUUAAGUUCUCCGCCUGGGGAGUACGGUCGCAAGGUUAAAACUCAAAGGAAUUGACGGGGACCCCGCACAAGCGGCGGAGCAUGUGGAUUAUUUGGAUGCAACGCGAAGAACCUUACCAAGGCUUGACAUAUAGAGGAAACGUAGAGAAACAGUCGCCCCGCAAGGUCUGUACACACGUGGUGCAUGGGGUCGUCAGCUCGUGUCUUGAGAUGUUGGGUUAAGUCUCGCAACGAGAGCAACCCUCAUUUUAUCAGCCAGCUCGUAAUGGUGGGAACUCAUGGGAUACUGCCGGGGUCAACUCGGAGGAAGGUGGGGAUGACGUCAAAUCAUCAUGCCCCUUAUGUCUUGGGCUUCACGCAUGCUACAAUGGCCGGUACAAAGGGGUGCAAUACCGUAAGGGGGAGGGAAUUCCAAAAAGCCGGUCCCAGUUCGGAUUGCGGUCUGCAACUCGACCUCAUGAAGUCGGAGUCGCUAGUAAUCGCAGAUCAGCAACGCUGCGGAAUUAGUUUCCCGGCUUUUACCACACCGCCCGUCAAGUCUGGAAAGUCUGUAACACGGAAGCCGGUUGCCCAACCCAAGUGGAGCAGCCGUCCACGUAGAUCGACUCGC